rnacentral:lncRNA from 1 species
GUUACGUCUUUUGUUGCUAACCAAGGCUCUGUUUUGUUGUCAGUUGAUGAUCCGAAUUCCUGGACUGGUGGGUCUGUUUGUGGUGUUCUUCGUUGAUACAAUCUCUGAUGAGUCUUCACAGAUCACCCUGGAGUCAUUAUAACCAAGAAGAAGAUGGCCGUGCCAAUAUGAUUUGCGACAGUGACGAAAGGGGUCUCUAGUUGUAAUAAUAUUAAGUUUGACAGGGUAUUUGCUUGUUGCCAGGCCUGUGAGAUGCCAAAGUUUCUUCUUGCUCUUGUCCUCAUAGUCGUCGUACCUUUGUACUCUUUAUUAAUACGAACGGCGCGCCCUUUGAAGUUUCUAUCUACUACAUUUUGACAAAUGGAUGUUGGAAUGUGCAACUCCAUGCUGUGAAAUGAAAUCCAUGAUAACCGCAUUUGUUCUCGUGUUUGCGACAUGAAACCUGGAAUCUAUUUUGUUUCUGUAUUCCCUCUUAAGCAAUGGUUUUGCUCGUGUCUUUGGUGGCUGAGAAUUUAUACAUCAACAGAACCUUUUUGUGCAGCAAUUGUUCACCUGUUGCUGACUUGAUGAAAGGACUUUGACUUUAGAACAAUUAUCAAGUAUUAAAUGAAUAGAAUCCGCGGCGCCUUGAAAACCAACAUGGAUCAUCUUUGGCACUGAAACAAAUUCUCUGUUGACCAGGAGAUGUUUCAGUAUGUCAACUGUCUGCUUUGUAAGCAUAAAUUAGCACACCUCACCAAAAAUUCAAAGAAAGAGGAUGAAUGAAUGGUGGAAUCAACAAAAUACAAAAAUCGUAUAUGUAUAUGACAUAUAAAUUUGCAUACUUAUGUGGUGAAUUUUGUGAAACAUAUAGUCCCAAAUGGCAGACUCAAGCUGACUGUCUUUAUCAGCGCAAAUCCAUAUGGUAUGACCAAGCAUUCAAAUAAUGCUAGUUAAGUAGGAUGAGUGAAUUAGGGUAGAUCCAACACCAUAUAAAAGAAACAUAAAUAACAUAAACAGUAAAUAUGAAUAGACUUGAGGCUAUUCCAACAAACAUCCUGCAAAAUUCACAGCUUUACAUAACCAAACACAAAAUCACUCAAACUGACUGCUUUUGAAGUGUAUAAAUCCGCGCACAUCACCAAAAAUCCAAAGGAAAUAAGUUAAGGGAGAAUGAAUGAAUGGUGGAAGCAACAAAAUACAAAGAUUAUAUGUACAUGAAAGAAAUAAUAUGCAUACUUGUGUGGUUUAUUUUGUGCAACAUAGUAUAUGCCAAGCUGAAGUAAAUCACAGUCUUUCCUGGUGUAAUCGAAUGAAUUGUGAUAGGUCCAACAACAUACAGAGAAACAUUUAUACUUUAGAAACAACAUACACAGAAACAUGUAUAACAGAAACUAUAAAUAUGCAUAUAACUAAUGAGACUAUUCCAACAAACAUUCUACAAAAUGGUGACCAACUGCAAAAUUCACAACUUUAUACAAAGCCAAACACAAAACCCUGUCAAUAAAACAUAUAUGAUGAUGCUCAGAGAGCCUGCACAGGCUACUGGAUAUGCUAUACCGAAUGNNNN